GAUGAAGAACGCAGCGAAAUGCGAUAAGUAAUGCGAAUUGCAGAAUUUCCGUGAGUCAUCGAAUCUUUGAACGCACAUUGCGCCCACUGGUAUUCCGGUGGGCAUGCCUGUUCGAGCGUCAUUAUCCCCCCUCAAACCCCGUGUUUGGUGUUAGACCCAAGUUGUGUGAACAACUGGUCUCAAAGACAAUGACGGCGUCCGUGGGACCCUCGGUGCAACGAGCUUUUAGGAGCACACGCUGAGUUUCAAGGACCCUCCGGGCCGGUCUCCUAUUUAUCAUCAAGGUUGACCUCGGAUCAGGUAGGAAUACCCGCUGAACUUAAGCAUAUCAAUAAGCGGAGGA
rnacentral:misc_RNA from 1 species